CGGUUAACGGGGGAUUAGGGUUCGAUUCCGGAGAGGGAGCCUGAGAAACGGCUACCACAUCUAAGGAAGGCAGCAGGCGCGCAAAUUACCCAAUUCUAACAGCAUAAGAGAGGUAGUGACAAGAAAUAACARUACAAGGCAGUUAAAAUGCUUUGUAAUUGGAAUGAUAGAAAUUUAAAYACUUUUUAAAGUAUCAAUUGGAGGGCAAGUCUGGUGCCAGCAGCCGCGGUAAUUCCAGCUCCAAUAGCGUAUAUUAAAAUUGUUGCAGUUAAAAAGCUCGUAGUUGAAUUUCUGCUAAAAAUAACCGGUCUGCUUUUAUUAAUAAAAGUGGUAUCUUGGUGUGUUUUUAGCAAUAAUGUCCUUUGAAAUGUUUUUUACUUUAUUGUWAAAAGCAAAUUUKAKGAUUUUUACUUUGAGAAAAUUAKAGUGUUUCAAGCAGGCUAACGUUUUGAAUACUGCAGCAUGGAAUAAUAAAAUAKGAUUUUASUUCUACGUUAUUGGUUUUAAGAA
rnacentral:rRNA from 1 species